UCCCAUGACAAACCAAGCCAAGCCAAACCAAUCUCAACUCUACCACGGAGAUGGAGCAAUUUUAUGACAGGAAAAUAAAGCCAUAACAUCUCGCGCUGUAAUUCAAUAUAUAUAUAAUAUACUAUAUACAUACUAUAACAAGACCUGGGUGGAUGGCAGCCCCGACAGGUUUGUCAUCACAAAUACUUCCUUACAGAUCAACGGCCUGUGCCAUAUUUUUUGUAGGAUUUGAGUCCCCACGUCCGUUGGACUUGGACCUGUCCUUUAUUGGCUUGUUAGAGCCCGGUGUCACUUUUGCAGCAGUUUUGCCUGUCUUGCUGGUUUGAGAUCCGGUUCCUUCACCUGCUCAAAUCAAAACAGUGAAAGAAUAAAUUAGCAAAAUGCAAAAUGAGUGCAAGAGGGACACUGUCGUUAUGCAUUUUUGAACCUGAUCAAACCUAAAAUUAGCAGUAAACAUAGAACAAUGAACAACAGUGAUAUCCAUUGGGCUUCAUGGAAUAAUGUGUCAGAGCAACAUUCUUACAUCACGCAAUUGUUUUGACAACAGCCGGCGUGAACCAGAAAAUUUAAUGUUAAUAAUCAGGGAUCAGAGGGUUGAAAAUUAUCAUGCAUUCACCAUUGGCAACAAACAAGCAUUAACCAAUUGCCACUCCAACCAGUAGAAUGGUUUACAUCGAGGAGAAUAUACCUAUAUAUUGUGGACAACAGAGAGAGAGCUUACCACUGUUAGGUAGAGACAAUCUCUUUGUCACCAGUUUAUCUGAUUUUAUGGACCUCUCCUUAGGAUUGCUGCGAGAUCUUGAAGUAAUAACAGGUUUUGAGCCAGCUUCUUCACCCAAAUCUUCAAUGAUUGGUUUGGACUUUGGCUUGGAAGAUAAUGCAUUGACCGCAUCUACCACAUUUGCUGACUUACCAGGUGGAGAAUCACUCCCUUCAGAAUAUGACAGACCUAUUUUUAGAUUUGACAGGUUAGCAUGAAGAUU
rnacentral:lncRNA from 1 species